rnacentral:rRNA from 1 species
GACGAACGCUGGCGGCGCGCCUAACACAUGCAAGUCGAACGAGCGAGAGAGAGCUUGCUUUCUCGAGCGAGUGGCGAACGGGUGAGUAACGCGUGAGGAACCUGCCUCAAAGAGGGGGACAACAGUUGGAAACGACUGCUAAUACCGCAUAAGCCCACGGCUCGGCAUCGAGCAGAGGGAAAAGGAGCAAUCCGCUUUGAGAUGGCCUCGCGUCCGAUUAGCUAGUUGGUGAGGUAACGGCCACCAAGGCAACGAUCGGUAGCCGGACUGAGAGGUUGAACGGCCACAUUGGGACUGAGACACGGCCCAGACUCCUACGGAGGCAGCAUGGGGAAUCUUCCGCAAUGGCGAAAGUCUGACGGAGCAACGCCGCGUGAGUGAUGACGGCCUUCGGUGUAAGCUCU